rnacentral:lncRNA from 1 species
UAAGUUUAAUCAUGAUAUGUAUAUGUUGUGAUAAGUGAGUUGUUUUUAUUUUAUUUUAUUUUUUUUAUAAGCUUAAGAUUUUGAUUAAAAAUAUAUAUAUAUUUUAAAUUCGGCUUGGUAGCAUAGUAUUGUACAGUUUAAAUUUUGCUAUGUGAGUGUUCAAAUGUUGUUGUAAUCGUUAGGUAAUACCUCAUAAACCUCCAGCGACGGAAUUGGGUUAGGGGUGUUACAUUUUAUUGGUAUCAGAGCUACGG